AUUGAACGCUGGCGGCAUGCCUUACACAUGCAAGUCGAACGGUAGAGGGGGCAACCCCCUUGAGAGUGGCGAACGGGUGAGUAAUAUAUCGGAACGUGCCCAGUCGUGGGGAUAACGUAGCGAAAGCUACGCUAAUACCGCAUACGAUCUAUGGAUGAAAGCGGGGGAUCGCAAGACCUCGCGCGAUUGGAGCGGCCGAUAUCAGAUUAGGUAGUUGGUGAGGUAAAGGGCUCACCAAGCCGACGAUCUGUAGCUGGUCUGAGAGGACGACCAGCCACACUGGGACUGAGACACGGCCCAGACUCCUACGGGAGGCAGCAGUGGGGAAUUUUGGACAAUGGGCGCAAGCCUGAUCCAGCAAUGCCGCGUGCAGGAU
rnacentral:rRNA from 1 species